CCGGUUGAUCCUGCCGAAGGCUACUGCUAUUGGAGUUCGAUUAAGCCAUGCGAGUCUAAGGGAUACUUGUAUCCCUGGCAUAAUGCUCAGUAACACGUGGAUAAUCUGCCCUCAGGUGAGGAAUAAACCCGGGAAACUGGGGCUAAUACCUCAUAGACACAGAAAGCUGGAAUGCUUCUGUGUUCAAAGCUCCGGCGCCUGAGGAUGAGUCUGCGGCCUAUCAGGUUGUAGUCAGGGUCAUGACCUGACUAGCCAACGACGGGUACGGGGUGUGAGAGCACUUGCCCGGAGAUGGUUUCUGAGACACGAAACCAGGCCCUACGGGGCGCAGCAGGCGCGAAAACUUCGCAAUGCGGGAAACCGUGACGAGGGAACUCCAAGUGUCUAUGCAUUGCAUAGACUGUUUUUUAGCCUAAAUAGCUAAAAGAGUAAGAGGUGGGCAAGACCGGUGCCAGCCGCCGCGGUAACACCGGCACCUCGAGUGGUAGCCACUAUUAUUGGGCCUAAAGCGUUCGUAGCCGGUUUGGUAAAUUCUUGGGUAAAUCGUACAGCUUAACUGUGCGGAUUCCGGGGACACUACCAGACUUGAGACCGGGAGAGAUCAGAGGUACUUGUAGGGGAGCGGUGAAAUGUUGUAAUCCUACAGGGACCACCAGUGGCGAAGGCGUCUGAUCAUAACGGCUUUGACGGUGAGGAACGAAACCCUGGGGCGCAAACGGGAUUAGAUACCCCGGUAGUCCAGGGCGUAAACGCUGCUGACUUGGUGUUGGAGAUCCUACGAGGGUGUCCAGUGCUGGCGCGAAGGCAUUUAGUCAGCCGCCUGGGGAGUACGGUCGCAAGACUGAAACUUAAAGGAAUUGGCGGGGGAGCACUGCAACGUGUGGAGCGUGCGGUUUAAUUGGAUUCAACGCCGGA
rnacentral:rRNA from 1 species